rnacentral:rRNA from 1 species
CAAUAGCGUAUAUUUAAGUUGUUGCAGUUAAAAAGCUCGUAGUUGGAUUUCGGUUAAGAGCGACCGGUCCGCCGUUUGGUGUGCACUGGUUGGUUUUAACUUCCUGUAGAGGACGUGCUCUGGGUUUAACGACCUGGACUCGGAGUCUACGUGGUUACUUUGAAAAAAUUAGAGUGUUCAAAGCGGGCUUACGCUUGAAUAUUUCAGCAUGGAAUAACACUAUAGGACUCCUGUCCUAUUUCGUUAGUCUCGGGACGGGAGUAAUGAUUAAGAGGAACAGUUGGGGGCAUUCGUAUUUCAUUGUCAGAGGUGAAAUUCUUGGAUUUAUGAAAGACGAACUUCUGCGAAAGCAUUUGCCAAGGAUGUUUUCAUUAA